GACGAACGCUGGCGGCGUGCUUAACACAUGCAAGUCGAACGGAAAGGCCCUGCUUUUGUGGGGUGCUCGAGUGGCGAACGGGUGUGUAACACGUGAGUAACCUGCCCUUGACUUUGGGAUAACUUCAGGAAACUGGUGCUAAUACCGGAUAGGAGCUCCUGCUGCAUGGUGGGGGUUGGAAAGUUUAGGCGGAUGGGGAUGGACGCGCGGCUUAUGAGCUUGUUGGUGGGGUAGUGGCAUACCAAGGCUUUGACGGGUCGCCGGCCUGAGAGGGUGAACAGGCACAAGGGUACUGAGAGACGGCGCAGAGUCCAACAGGGGACAGCAGGGGAGAAUAUUACACAGUGAGCGGAAGCGUGAUACAAAAGCCCCGCGAGCGGAAUGACGGCCUAGGGGUUGUAAAGCGCUUUCACCUGUGACGAAGCGGGAGUGACGGUAAUGGGUGAAGAAGCACCGGCUAACUACGUG
rnacentral:rRNA from 1 species